AUUGAACGCUGGCGGCAUGCCUUACACAUGCAAGUCGAACGGUAACAGGUUAAGCUGACGAGUGGCGAACGGGUGAGUAAUGUAUCGGAACGUGCCCAGUCGUGGGGGAUAACUGCUCGAAAGAGCAGCUAAUACCGCAUACGACCUGAGGGUGAAAGCGGGGGAUCGCAGGACCUCGCGCGAUUGGAGCGGCCGAUAUCAGAUUAGGUAGUUGGUGGGGUAAAGGCCUACCAAGCCUACGAUCUGUAGCUGGUCUGAGAGGACGACCAGCCACACUGGGACUGAGACACGGCCCAGACUCCUACGGGAGGCAGCAGUGGGGAAUUUUGGACAAUGGACGCAAGUCUGAUCCAGCCAUGCCGCGUGCGGGAAGAAGGCCUUCGGGUUGUAAACCGCUUUUGUCAGGGAAGAAAAGGUUCUGGUUAAUACCUGGGACUCAUGACGGUACCUGAAGAAUAAGCACCGGCUAACUACGUGCCAGCCGCCGCAAUAACAC
rnacentral:rRNA from 1 species